UUGGCCGUGAACUGCCAGUAGUCCUGCGACUCCAGCAGCGCCUGGUAGCUGUAGUGGUCGCCGUCGGCGAGCACGCCCAGCACCGUCUCGUCGCCGUACUUGCCGGCGCCAAUCUGGUUCACCUUGCCGUGGGCGAUGAGGACGAUGCUGUCGGCCUCCUUGCCCUUCUCGGUGAUGACGGCGCCCGCCUUGAACUCCUUCUGCUCGAAGCGGUUCGCCAGGGCCUGGAGCGCGUCCACGUCGUCGAACCCGCGCAGCAGGGGCAGCUCACACAGCUCCUGCGGGAUGACCUGGACCUUGGCGCCCGUGGUGGAGAACGUCACCCGGCCAUCGCCCACCGAGUACGUCAGGCGACGGUUGACGCGGUACACGCCGCCGGAGACCUGCACCCACGGCAGCAGCUUGAUGAGCCACCGCGAGGAGAUGCCCUGCAUCUGCGGCACGGACUUGGUCGUCGUCGCCAGCUGGCGCGCCGCCGCCGUACCAAGGCUCAACUGAGAGUGCUCCGC
rnacentral:antisense_RNA from 1 species